AGAAAGGAACCAAGCAUAUAGUUGCUUAGGAGACAAAAAAGGAAGAGGCAGGUCUGAAGCCAAAGGCAGAUGAAAGAAAAGGCAAAGAAGGAAACAACGGAACACUUCAUUGUUGCUCCUUGAGAUGGUCUUUGGGGUAGCAGGGUAAGAAGGCAGUAAAGGAUUUAUGAACAGAGAACUGUCCUGUCCAGAAGUAUAACCAAGUGGGAGUUUGGGGAACGAGAAGCCUGAGUGCCAUCUGUCUGCCAGCUCUCUUCAGCCCACAAUUCUUUAUCAGGGUUUUCCAUUGUGUUUCUGGCUUCAUCUGUUGGUGGGUGAACACUGGAUUCAGCCAGUCCCCCACUCCUAACCCCAUUUCAUUUCAAAUGCCACCCUCAUUAUUGUGAUCUGCAUACAAGGGUAACUGUUCUGGUCCAGGCGUCCAUGCUUGUUAUUCUAACUAACACAGAUGGUGUGUGGGCAGGGACUAGGGAUUUAUAAGCUACAAAAGACCAGCUACAUCUUCUCUACCAGAGAUUUUCAAUAGAACUUUUUGUGAUGACAGAAAUAGUUUCUAAUCUGCCAUUAAUGUGGUAAUCAUGCCACAUGUGGCCCUUGAAAUCUGACUAGUGGAACUGAGAAGGAACAGAGAAUCUGAGAGGACAAGAACUCACCUAAGGGCAGACACAUCUGAAGAAGUGGACUGAAUCUAAAACAGGAUCAGGGCUCUGCCAGCACUUAAGCUGACAUCAAGAAGGGCUGACUGAGAAGACAGAAAGAACUUGGAGUCGUUUUUGUCACUCUUGGAUCAGCCUUCAGGAAAGUGUCACAGUAUUUCACAAGCCUCCGUAAAGAUUCAGCCUGUUCACAAGAAGCUCUUAUUUCUGUAUGGAUGUCACAAAUGCUGUGGGUUUGAAAUGGAUCAAUCUUUCUUCUCUUUCAACUUUGAAAGUGAUAAAAAUCACCUGAAAUUUGAACUGACUGGAAACUUUACAGAUAAAAAUAGAAAACUUCUUGCCAGUCUCAAGUUUCCAUUCUCCCUUCAUCUCACCUCCACAGAAGCUGAGAAGUUUUGAAGCCAAAUGCUGUAUUUUACUGGAAGAGGAAUGAGGUUGAACAAAUGAUAUGGACUGAAGCUGGUGAUUUGCCUUCCAAUGAAAAGAGAGAAUAGAAAUGGGGAAGUCAUAACUGCACAGGAGAGAAAUUGGCCUGACUCUUUAUGGACUAAUGAGAGUUACCAUCUUCAUCAUAAGUCACGUCAAGUGACUUAUCAUGGAGGAGUAUUCCCUGUGCCUUUAUAUGUUUCUUGUCAAAAAUUGCAAAGUUCUAAAUUAAUCAUGGAAAAAUUCUUAGAAAAAACCAAAUUGAAGUAUAUUCUACAAAACAUCUGCCCACUGCUCUUCAUGGAUCAAGGCCAUAACCAUAACAACAGAAAUAUGAAUAAAGUCUUCAAGAUCAGAGCAGAUUAACAAGA
rnacentral:lncRNA from 1 species